rnacentral:tRNA from 1 species
CUGGAGCUGGGCGAUGUGCCGUUGCGCCUGCUGCGCAACGUGCGCGGUCUGGAGCUGAUCGAGCUCAAGAAUGUAGACCGCUGCUGCGGCUUCGGG